rnacentral:misc_RNA from 1 species
AGUGCAUGGGAGCAUCCGGGGGAGGG